rnacentral:SRP_RNA from 1 species
GCCGGGCAUGGUGGUGCACGCCUGUAGUCCCAGCUACUUGGGAGGCUGAGGCAGGAGAAUUGCUUGAACUCGGGAGGUGGAGGUUGCAGUGAGCCGAGAUCAUGCCACUGCAUUCCAGCCUGGGUGACAGAGUAAGACUCUGUCUCAA